rnacentral:lncRNA from 1 species
AUGUCCUCGAGCAGGUGCUCCUGCUCCAGGCGCAGCAGACUGCGCGCCGAGCCCAGGCACAACACGGCGCCACGCAUCUCACGGACGUCGCGGUCGUCGUGGUCGUGCAGCUUGCCCAUUGCGGAGCCGUCUGCCUGCUGCUACCGCGGCACCGCCGCCUCGCCCCCCAGGCUGCGGUUGUGCACCUCCAGCUACCUCACCUUGUCAAUGUAGCCCGCAAAGCGGUCGUUCAGCGUCUACAGCUGCUUCUGUCUGCGCGCCGCAGCCUCUGCCACCACGUAGCCCUUCGGCUCAGCGUGUCCAGCGUUUUGAUGCUCGAGGGUGCGCCUGCGCAGUGGAAGAGGUUGGGUGAGGCCGACACGGAUCUCAUAGGCGGACACGGAUCUCAUAGACUUCCACGAGUGGAAGCCGCUGGAGGAGCCGGCGGCCGAGCGUGUCCAGCCUUCUCCUCCCUGGCCCAGCGCGUAAUGGAGGCUGCCGCCACUGGGCAGCGUGACGAAAGGAACGCCCAGCAGCACAUCCGUGCAACCGAAGCUCGUCGUGGUCAGAGCAGCAAAGUCCCAGACCACUUCUGCAGCAUUUACAGAAAGGCAAGCCAAAAUGUGUUCUGCCAGUAUUAGCCCACCAUUUAUCUCCUUCUUAAAAGAGAGUUGCUGUGCUGUGCAUUCUGCGUCUCUCACCCCAAAACCAGAAGGGAAGGAUUAUUGACGAUUCAUCUGAUCAUAUGAGGAGAGGCUGAAAACAAAUACUCCAAGAGCUUAGCUUCAAGUUCCUUUUCUG